rnacentral:rRNA from 1 species
UACGGAGGGAGCUAGCGUUAUUCGGAAUUACUGGGCGUAAAGCGCACGUAGGCGGCUUUGUAAGUUAGAGGUGAAAGCCUGGAGCUCAACUCCAGAAUUGCCUUAAGACUGCAUCGCUUGAAUCCAGGAGAGGUGAGUGGAAUUCCGAGUGUAGAGGUGAAAUUCGUAGAUAUUCGGAAGAACACCAGUGGCGAAGGCGGCUCACUGGACUGGUAUUGACGCUGAUGUGCGAAAGCGUGGGGAGCAAACAG